AACGAACGCUGGCGGCAGGCCUAACACAUGCAAGUCGAACGCCGUAGCAAUACGGAGUGGCAGACGGGUGAGUAACACGUGGGAACGUACCCUUCGGUUCGGAAUAACUCAGGGAAACUUGAGCUAAUACCGGAUACGUCCGUAAGGAGAAAGAUUUAUCGCCGAGGGAUCGGCCCGCGUCUGAUUAGCUUGUUGGUGAGGUAACGGCUCACCAAGGCGACGAUCAGUAGCUGGUCUGAGAGGAUGAUCAGCCACAUUGGGACUGAGACACGGCCCAAACUCCUACGGGAGGCAGCAGUGGGGAAUAUUGGACAAUGGGCGCAAGCCUGAUCCAGCCAUGCCGCGUGAGUGAUGAA
rnacentral:rRNA from 1 species